rnacentral:rRNA from 1 species
UGGGGAAUAUUGCACAAUGGGGGAAACCCUGAUGCAGCAACGCCGCGUGAGUGAAGAAGUAUUUCGGUAUGUAAAGCUCUAUCAGCAGGGAAGAAAAUGACGGUACCUGACUAAGAAGCCCCGGCUAACUACGUGCCAGCAGCCGCGGUAAUACGUAGGGGGCAAGCGUUAUCCGGAAUUACUGGGUGUAAAGGGAGCGCAGGCGGGCAGACAAGUUGGAAGUGAAAUCCAUGGGCUCAACCCAUGAACUGCUUUCAAAACUGUUUUUCUUGAGUAGUGCAGAGGUAGGCGGAAUUCCCGGUGUAGCGGUGGAAUGCGUAGAUAUCGGGAGGAACACCAGUGGCGAAGGCGGCCUACUGGGCACCAACUGACGUUGAGGCACGAAAGCGUGGGUAGCAAACAGGAUUAGAUACCCUGGUAGUCCACGCUGUAAACGAUGAUUACUAGGUGUGGGGGGUCUGACCCCUUCCGUGCCGGAGUUAACACAAUAAGUAAUCCACCUGGGGAGUACGGCCGCAAGGUUGAAACUCAAAGGAAUUGACGGGGGCCCGCACAAGCAGUGGAGUAUGUGGUUUAAUUCGAAGCAACGCGAAGAACCUUACCAGGUCUUGACAUCGAGUGACGUAUCCAGAGAUGGAUAUUUCCUUCGGGACACAAAGACAGGUGGUGCAUGGUUGUCGUCAGCUCGUGUCGUGAGAUGUUGGGUUAAGUCCCGCAACGAGCGCAACCCUUAUCAUUAGUUGCUACGCAAGAGCACUCUAAUGAGACUGCCGUUGACAAAACGGAGGAAGGUGGGGACGACGUCAAAUCAUCAUGCCCUUUAUGUCCUGGGCUACACACGUACUACAAUGGCGGUCAUACAGAGGGAAGCAAGACAGUGAUGUGGAGCAAAACCCUAAAAGCCGUCUCAGUUCAGAUUGCAGGCUGAAACCCGCCUGCAUGAAGUCGGAAUUGCUAGUAAUCGCGGAUCAGCAUGCCGCGGUGAAUACGUUCCC